CCUACGGGAGGCUGCAGUGGGGAAUAUUGGACAAUGGGGGGAACCCUGAUCCAGCGACGCCGCGUGAGUGAAGAAGUAUUUCGGUAUGUAAAGCUCUAUCAGCAGGGAAGUAAGAAAUGACGCUACCUGACUAAGAAGCCCCGGCUAACUACGUGCCAGCAGCCGCGGGAAUACGUAGGGGGCAAGCGUUAUCCGGAUUUACUGGGUGUAAAGGGAGCGUAGAAGGCGAUGCAAGUCUGAAGUGAAAGGCGGGGGCCCAACCCCUGGACUGCUUUGGAAACUGGAUGGCUGGAGGGCAGGAGAGGUAAGUGGAAUUCGUGGUGUAGCGGUGAAAUGCGUAGAUAUGAGGAAGAACACCAGUGGCGAAGGCGGCUUACUGGACUGUAACUGACGUUGAGGCUCGAAAGCGUGGGGAGCAAACAGGAUUAGAUACCCCGGUAGUC
rnacentral:rRNA from 1 species